rfam:Lupinus angustifolius cultivar Tanjil contig_9792, whole genome shotgun sequence.
AACCCUUGAUUGGGACAUUUCCUCAGUAACACCUGGAAACGCUCCCAUGCCUCAUAAAAUGCCUCUUCAGCACCUUGUCUGAAUGUAAAGAUUUCAAACUUAGCAU